GACGAACGCUGGCGGCGUGCCUAAUACAUGCAAGUAAGACGCAGUUGCGAACGGUUGAGUAACGCGUAGGUAACUGCCUAUUAGAGGGGGAUAACUAUUGGAAACGAUAGCUAAUACCGCAUACUAGUAGAUGGAACUGCGUUGUAUUAGCUAGUAGGUAGGGUAAUGUCCUACCUAGGAGACGAUACAUAGCCGACGGUGGAGGGGGAUCGGCCACACGUGGACUGGGAAACGGCCCAGACGCCUACGGUAGGCAGCAGUAGGGAAUCUUGGGCAAUGGGGGGAACCCUGAGCGAGCACCGUCGCGUUAAUGAAGAAGGUGUUCGCAUAGUACAGCACUGUUGUUAAGGAAGCGGUACUUAACCAGAAAGGGACGGCUAACUACGUGCCAGCCGCCGCGGUAAUUC
rnacentral:rRNA from 1 species